AUAGUUCUUCCAGAGAUCCCCACCAACUGAAUUGCGUAAUUCAUGUGCUUGUUUUCAUUCUACCAGUGGGUCUGCGUAACACUUGCCUUUCAGUUUUGUAAUCAACGCUUGAUUUAAUUUGAUGUUUAUGUUCCCUUUAAAGAAAAAAUGGUCUAUGUUCAUGCAAAGUUCUGUUUCCAGAUGGCUUAUGCAAUUGUCGAUUUUAUUGGUCGAAAAGAGGUAGAGGUUGUGCCAUCCUCAUGGAUCUCGGACGACGUAUGCAUGUGGCCUAAAGUACCAUUGGGCCGACUGACAUCUAUGAUAAGAAAAAACAUCCAUGUCCCUACUUGCCACCAUGGCAAGGAUACGAGGUCCAGGUGAAGGGGCUGUUUGGAUCAUAUGAUGAAGCGCGCAGGAAGUUGGACAAGUCGCAGUACACUUCAGACCUCGGGAGCGACUCUGAACCGCCGCAAAAAAGAAGAACCCCAGCUGUUGUGUGGGAACCUUGCCAGUCGUCUGACAGCCAGCAGUCUGAAGAUUUGCCACCGCCACCAGCGUCAGUGAACUUUUCCCAGGCUGCCUUCCCUGCAUCGCCUUGCUCAUCUGCAUCGGUUGUGUCACCUCUGCCAGUGGCCUCACCCAUGCCAGCAGCCUCGCCUCUUCCAGUUACGUCAUGUGUGCCAGCUGCCCCGCCUUUGCCAGCCAUACCGCCAGUGCCAGCCGUAACACCAGUGCCAGUUGCACCACCUUUGCCAGCUGCUUCGCCUGCCCCAGUCACAUUACCAC
rnacentral:lncRNA from 1 species